rnacentral:rRNA from 1 species
UACGAAGGUUGCAAGCGUUAAUCGGAAUUACUGGGCGUAAAGGGUGCGUAGGCGGUUGUUUAAGUCUGUCGUGAAAUCCCCGGGCUCAACCUGGGAAUGGCGAUGGAUACUGGGCAGCUAGAGUGUGUCAGAGGAUGGUGGAAUUCCCGGUGUAGCGGUGAAAUGCGUAGAGAUCGGGAGGAACAUCAGUGGCGAAGGCGGCCAUCUGGGACAACACUGACGCUGAAGCACGAAAGCGUGGGGAGCAAACAGG